GCGGCCGGCUUACAUAUUCAUGUACCUGUAUUUACCUGGCUUUAAAUUCAGCACAGCGACCUAGGGAAACCGCAGAAAACCUGGUCGAGGCUUUUAAGGUAUUAUCUGCUCAAUAAAUUAUAUCAGAUGCGGAA
rnacentral:lncRNA from 1 species